rnacentral:rRNA from 1 species
UGGGGAAUAUUGCGCAAUGGGGGAAACCCUGACGCAGCAACGCCGCGUGCAGGAAGAAGGUCUUCGGAUUGUAAACUGUUGUCGCAGGGGAAGAAGACAGUGACGGUACCCUGUGAGAAAGUCACGGCUAACUACGUGCCAGCAGCCGCGGUAAUACGUAGGUGACAAGCGUUGUCCGGAUUUACUGGGUGUAAAGGGCGCGUAGGCGGGAUAGCAAGUCAGUCGUGAAAUGCCGAGGCUUAACCUCGGAGCUGCGAUUGAAACUGUUAUUCUUGAGUAUCGGAGAGGAAAGCGGAAUUCCUAGUGUAGCGGUGAAAUGCGUAGAUAUUAGGAGGAACACCAGUGGCGAAGGCGGCUUUCUGGACGACAACUGACGCUGAGGCGCGAAAGUGUGGGGAGCAAACAGG